UACAGAGGGUGCAAGCGUUGUUCGGAAUCACUGGGCGUAAAGGGCGCGUAGGCGGCGUUUUAAGUCGGGGGUGAAAGCCUGUGGCUCAACCACAGAAUGGCCUUCGAUACUGGGACGCUUGAGUAUGGUAGAGGUUGGUGGAACUGCGAGUGUAGAGGUGAAAUUCGUAGAUAUUCGCAAGAACACCGGUGGCGAAGGCGGCCAACUGGACCAUUACUGACGCUGAGGCGCGAAAGCGUGGGGAGCAAACAGG
rnacentral:rRNA from 1 species